AUGAGCGUACUGACUGUAUGCUCAACCCUCUACAGAAAGGAUUUCGUGGAUCGCUGUGGGGCCAAAGGCAGGAUUCGGAUCCCAGGUUUACAACAGAAGAAACUGAGGCACAGGGGGGAUGAACAACUGCAAAAUGAUCAUCUAUUGAGUACUGCAUUAAGCCGGGUUCCGCCCCCUCCCCCAGCACACUGUGGACUCGAUGGAAGAACACAACACGGGGAGCCGCUGCCUGGGAAAUCAUUACCUCCGUCGCCCCUCCCGGACAGGGCGGACAGGGCGCGGCGAGGAGCCGGGACGAGGCCGCAGGGAGACACCGGGACGAAGUUCCUCCGGCAUUGGACCCUGCCUCCCCACGGCUGUGGGCCCGAAACCAGAAGUAUUGUUUUAUUUAACAAACGCUUAGAGAGUGAUUAUGGUGUGCUAGGUACUAUACUAAGUUCUUUUGAAAAAGUAAUUCAUUUAAUCUUUCUCACAGCCGUAUGGGGGCAGUGCUCUCAUAGGCUCAUUUUAAUAACAACAACAACAGUAAUAAUACGUUAACAUUUUAGUAGGGCGGCUGGUAGAAGACAGCCUCUGAAUCUUCACUUCACUUGUCUGGGCCUCCACUUUUUCAUCUGGAAGAUGGGCUCCAGAACCUCGCCCUCAAGGCCCAACUGAACCCAUGCACAUAAAGAGCUUAGCACUGUGACUGGCUCCGAGUAAACACUUAGUAUAUGUUGGUGUCAAACGUUUUGAGCCCUUUAGAAGGGAUUGUCUCGCCAGCGCUAUCAGGGGUGUGGGCCCACUGCUAUUCCUACUUUUCAGAUGAGGAAAAAGGAGGCAUCAGAGAGGCGGGAUGACCCACCCAAGGCUACACUGGAUGCUGACUUGGAGGAUUUUCCAGAAAUCAGGCUGGUCCAAAGCAGGCUUAUGAGGUGCUUCGUUUUCCCACAGGACAUCCAGUUUAGACUUUCCAUCUUAUUUCCAACUGAAUCAUAGCUGGUCAUUAUAUAUUUUUGUUUUAAACACGCAAACUGGAAAAAUGCAAGGCAUAAGACAUAUCACAAUUUUUGCAACCCACGUUUUGGCAUUUCUUAAUUUAAAAACUCUAACUACAGCCUUCAAAGAUGGAAAUGGUCCCGGCUCUCUGACCUCGAAGAGGUCCUGGUGACACCUGGUUCUGAGAGGACAGCUCACACAGUGGGCACAGGUCUUGAACCAGCUCGUGACCAAGCAAACCGUGGAAAUGUCUGUUUCUGUCCUGGAGGCUAAGGGAUCACUAGGCCCUGACCCCUGGAUGCACACUCCGCCCUCCACAGGGGUCAAGAGUGCCUCACACACCAACGCCAACCUUACAUCUGCCAAUCUGAGUCAUCCCAGACCUAAGUCGGUCUAAUAGGGAGGUGCCCCUGGAGCCCCCACAUUUUGUCUCCUGAGACUCAGGCGGAGGGGUAGAACCCUUCUUCACGCCACCUACUCUUAUUUAGCUCCAGGAAUUGCUGGCCAGAGAGGGCUCCCCAAUGCCCAAGGUCACAUGCAGCAAGGCUUUCCAGUGACAAGC
rnacentral:lncRNA from 1 species